AACUGAAGAGUUUGAUCAUGGCUCAGAUUGAACGCUGGCGGCAGGCUUAACACAUGCAAGUCGAGCGGGGGAAGGUAGCUUGCUACUGGACCUAGCGGCGGACGGGUGAGUAAUGCUUAGGAAUCUGCCUAUUAGUGGGGGACAACAUCUCGAAAGGGAUGCUAAUACCGCAUACGUCCUACGGGAGAAAGCAGGGGAUCUUCGGACCUUGCGCUAAUAGAUGAGCCUAAGUC
rnacentral:rRNA from 1 species